rnacentral:lncRNA from 1 species
GUUUGGAAAAUUACACAAUAUUCUUUGAGUAAAAAUUUACUUUAAAAAUCUGAAGUUUCUCAUUCUUCUGAUCUUCUUUUAACUAGCCCCCAUUAAAACUUGAGGCUAUAAAGAGCCUGUGUUGCUGAUCUGCUUCUUCAACAAUACCCCCUUUUUUCUUUUCUUUUUUAAAGUAAAAAUCAUCAUUUCUGGGGAUUAACCCUUUAAAGUUAACUGACAAUUUCAGUCCUGUUGAUAUAUCUGUACAUCUUAUUCUGCUGGUCAUUUUUCUUUUUCAAAGUUUCUUUUUUUCUAUUAUAGUUUUCAAGAAAAUAGAAAAAUGCAAAAAAAAAAUAUAAAAUUUAUCAUUCAAGGCCAAUAACUCAUAUAAGAAGUUGUCCAACAGUUUUAAUGCCAAAGACAUUAGGUAGAUAUCAUAAUUUUUAACAUUUUAUCUAUCUAUAGCUGUUUUUCAAGAUUAUAGACAAAUAAUGUAUUUUUAUGUUGUAUUUAUAGCAAUGUCGGCCAAAUUUGUCAGUAGGCAUUAGUCAUCAGACACAGUUUUUAAACUUGAUAUCCCAAUGAUGAUUGUAGCAAAGUUUCAAAGAUGAUCUUUGUGAACGUUAACGGUAGAUGACAAUGAUGGAUGACAGACACCAAGUGAUGGCAAAACUCACAAGUGACAUUGGCUCUUUGAGCUAGGUAAGCUAAAAACAGGAUUCUUAGAAACAAAUAAAUACACUUAAAGAGAAUUUAAAGCUUGAGAUUGAUAAGUGGUGCAGUUUCUUUAGAUUUUGAAAUAUGAAAUAUAGACAAUACUGGACUCUUUUUAACUACAACAGACGACUAGAAUACAAC